UACAGAGGGUGCGAGCGUUAAUCGGGAUUACUGGGCGUAAAGGGUGCGUAGGUGGUGAAGUAAGUUAGGUGUGAAAUCCCUGGGCUUAACCUGGGAAUGGCGCUUAAUACUGCUUUGCUAGAGUACUGUAGAGGGAAGUGGAAUUUCCGGUGUAGCGGUGAAAUGCGUAGAUAUCGGAAGGAACACCAGUGGCGAAGGCGACUUCCUGGACAGAUACUGACACUGAGGCACGAAAGCGUGGGGAGCAAACAGG
rnacentral:rRNA from 1 species